AGCAGUUGGUUAGCAAAGGGAUUCGGUGCAGAUGGAUGGACCGUCUGGGCUACGGAGCCCACGGGCCUGAAACGCAGUCGCUCCUGACCCGUCCUCCGCAACCCUCGUCCCACCGGGCCGCGGUCCCCGGAGCAGGCCGGCUGGUGGCGGGAAGACACCAGGCUGCAGGGGGCUGGAGAAGCAACACCCCUCUCCCUCCCCGCCAGAGAACUGGAGCGCGGGGACCUCGGCUGCGGAUGCUGGCGGCGAGCCGGGUUGCUAGGCGACAUCGACAGAGGAAGAGGAGAAAGUCUUCAUGGGGUGCUAGAGCAUCUUAAAUGUCCUUCUCAUGCAGGGACAUUUCCCUGCUGAACGAAGAGAAGGCGGACCUCGGCAAGGGACCUGUGGUCAGCAGCAGCUUCUGAGGACUCAUCCCUUAGAAAGGAUGAUAAGGUGCAAGGCGUGGUGGUUCACACCUGUAAUCCCAGCACUUUGGGAGGCCGAAGUGGGAGGAUCGCUUGAUCCCAGGAGUCCAAGACCAGUCUGGGCAACAAAGUGAGACUUCAUCUCAAAAAAAUAAAAAUAAAAAUACAAAAGUUAGCAGGGUGUGGUGGCACGCACCUGUAAUCCCAGCUACUCAGGAGGCUGAGGAAGGAGAAUUGCUUGAACCCGGGAGGUGG
rnacentral:sRNA from 1 species